CCCAUCUAUUUUUAAGUUCACAACAAAACAAUAACAUUAGCACUUUGUAAUACAACCGAUCCACACAAUGUAGUGGUGGUCUUUGUUAAACAACUAAUGAUGUGUGACACAGAGUUCUGUUAGGCGGUGGUCAAGGGUGGUAAAACAAUCAUUGUUUUAAUGAUAGGGUGUUACAGUCUCUCAAUACACAAACAUACCAGUGACCAACAUGGCCACCGUUUUACAGGCAAUUAGCUUGGCCCUUCUAGGCUUUGUCAGUGCACAAUGGGACACAGUUAUCCUUUGUGUCAAAAAACACCUUAGAGGCAAACUACUGAACUACUGAACUACUAGUAACCAGAAGUAGUGUCCCCAGGGAGCAUUUAGAGCUCCUUGAUAGAAUUAGACACUGAGAGCGUUUUAGCGUGUGUAAAAAUUCAGUCCAUUUCUAUAAAAUUAUAUUAAUUGUCAUUUAUUGUUCAUUUUUAUAUAAAGCAUUUCAUCUAUGCAAUAGUUUAAUAAACUUACAUCGUACACAUGGGUUUAUUCAUGUGGCCUUCAAGAUAAUAAAUAAUACGUUCAAAUAUUACAUUGAUUCUUUAAGAAGAAAAAGUAUGAAAACAAAUGGAUCUAUCAAGUAGUGAAAAGUACCCCAAACUAGGAUGCAAACAGGAUGCAUAUCAAUUACAAUACUUUUUCCAAAUCAAUAUUUCUGGACAGAGUAUACAUCAGGCAUCCCAUAAAUGUUUGAUCCUGUCCAUCCUACACAAGUUACAAUUCCUCUGUGCUCUUCUCUUUGCUUCCAAUCAUCCCCCAAACGCGAUCAGGCCCUGUUUGUGUGUGUGUGUGCUUGUGUGUGUGUGUGUGCGUCUUUGAGUGCUGUGCGUCUUUGAGUGUGCGUGUGUGUGUGUGCGUGAGUAUGUUUGUGUGCCCAUGUGUGUGUCCAUCUCUGAGUGUGUGUGUGUGUGUGUGUGUGUGUGUGUCUGUUUGUGUGCGUGUGGGCGAGUGUGUGUGCGCAUGUGUGCAGGCUUGUGUGUGUGUGUGCGUCUUUGAGUGUGCUGUGCGUCUUUGAGUGUGCGUGUGUGUGGGCGUGAGUGCGUCUGUGAGUGGUGUGUGUGUGUGCGUCUGUGAGUGGUGUGUGUGUGCGUGUGCGUGUGUGCGUCUUUGAGUGUGUGUGUGUGUGUGUGUGUGUGUGUGUGUGUGUGUGUGUGUGUGCGUGCUGUGGGGCCAGGGACUUGUAUACAGAGUGUAAGUGACAUGAUGCGUAACUCCAUCUAUAGGUGUUAUGGUGUCAUUCCCACCACUGAAGAGCUUUCCUCGCCCUCUGAGCAGAUGACUCCAAGGGCGGGCGCCUGCUUCCCAACGACCCCCCGACGCGCCUCGUGGAGCAGAGACAAUGACCCUGAUGGGAGAACCACACUGUACCGGGCCUGGGGACACGGGCCCAUGUGUGUGUGUGUGUGUGUAUGUGUGUGUGUGUGUGUGUGUGUGUAUGUUUGUGUCUAUAUAUACAUGUGUUUGUGUCUCUAUUUGUGUGUGCAUCUAUACAUAUGAUAUACACGUGUGUGUGUUUGUGUGUGAACAUAUGAUUCUACAUAUUUCCAAUAUAUUUGUCCUGCAUUUGUCCACUAUAUGUGUGCAUGGGUAAUUGUCUUUAUUUGUGCGUGUGCAUCGAUAUUUUAUAUACAUGUGUGUUUGUGUCUAUGCAUAUGUGUGUGUGUGUGUGUGUGUGUGUGUGUGUGUGUGUGUGUGUGUGUGUGUGUGUGUGUGUGUUUGUGUGCAUGUAUGUG
ensembl:lncRNA